rnacentral:rRNA from 1 species
UACGGAGGGUGCAAGCGUUAUCCGGAUUCACUGGGUUUAAAGGGUGCGUAGGCGGACAUGUAAGUCCGUGGUGAAAUCUCUAAGCUUAACUUGGAAACUGCCAUGGAUACUAUAUGUCUUGAAUGUUGUGGAGGUUAGCGGAAUAUGUCAUGUAGCGGUGAACUGCAUAGAUAUGACAUAGAACACCAAUUGCGAAGGCAGCUGGCUACACAAAUAUUGACGCUGAGGCACGAAAGCGUGGGGAUCAAACAGG